CGAAUGCUGACAUAAGUAACGAUAAAGCGGGUGAAAAGCCCGCUCGCCGGAAGACCAAGGGUUCCUGUCCAACGUUAAUCGGGGCAGGGUGAGUCGACCCCUAAGGCGAGGCCGAAAGGCGUAGUCGAUGGGAAACAGGUUAAUAUUCCUGUACUUGGUGUUACUGCGAAGGGGGGACGGAGAAGGCUAUGUUGGCCGGGCGACGGUUGUCCCGGUUUAAGCGUGUAGGCUGGUUUUCCAGGCAAAUCCGGAAAAUCAAGGCUGAGGCGUGAUGACGAGGCACUACGGUGCUGAAGCAACAAAUGCCCUGCUUCCAGGAAAAGCCUCUAAGCAUCAGGUAACAUCAAAUCGUACCCCAAACCGACACAGGUGGUCAGGUAGAGAAUACCAAGGCGCUUGAGAGAACUCGGGUGAAGGAACUAGGCAAAAUGGUGCCGUAACUUCGGGAGAAGGCACGCUGAUAUGUAGGUGAAGUCCCUUGCGGAUGGAGCUGAAAUCAGUCGAAGAUACCAGCUGGCUGCAACUGUUUAUUAAAAACACAGCACUGUGCAAACACGAAAGUGGACGUAUACGGUGUGACGCCUGCCCGGUGCCGGAAGGUUAAUUGAUGGGGUCAGCGCAAGCGAAGCUCUUGAUCGAAGCCCCGGUAAACGGCGGCCGUAACUAUAACGGUCCUAAGGUAGCGAAAUUCCUUGUCGGGUAAGUUCCGACCUGCACGAAUGGCGUAAUGAUGGCCAGGCUGUCUCCACCCGAGACUCAGUGAAAUUGAACUCGCUGUGAAGAUGCAGUGUACCCGCGGCAAGACGGAAAGACCCCGUGAACCUUUACUAUAGCUUGACACUGAACAUUGAGCCUUGAUGUGUAGGAUAGGUGGGAGGCUUUGAAGUGUGGACGCCAGUCUGCAUGGAGCCGACCUUGAAAUACCACCCUUUAAUGUUUGAUGUUCUAACGUGGACCCGUGAUCCGGGUUGCGGACAGUGUCUGGUGGGUAGUUUGACUGGGGCGGUCUCCUCCUAAAGAGUAACGGAGGAGCACGAAGGUUGGCUAAUCCUGGUCGGACAUCAGGAGGUUAGUGCAAUGGCAUAAGCCAGCUUGACUGCGAGCGUGACGGCGCGAGCAGGUGCGAAAGCAGGUCAUAGUGAUCCGGUGGUUCUGAAUGGAAGGGCCAUCGCUCAACGGAUAAAAGGUACUCCGGGGAUAACAGGCUGAUACCGCCCAAGAGUUCAUAUCGACGGCGGUGUUUGGCACCUCGAUGUCGGCUCAUCACAUCCUGGGGCUGAAGUAGGUCCCAAGGGUAUGGCUGUUCGCCAUUUAAAGUGGUACGCGAGCUGGGUUUAGAACGUCGUGAGACAGUUCGGUCCCUAUCUGCCGUGGGCGCUGGAGAACUGAGGGGGGCUGCUCCUAGUACGAGAGGACCGGAGUGGACGCAUCACUGGUGUUCGGGUUGUCAUGCCAAUGGCACUGCCCGGUAGCUAAAUGCGGAAGAGAUAAGUGCUGAAAGCAUCUAAGCACGAAACUUGCC
rnacentral:rRNA from 1 species